AACGAACGCUGGCGGCAUGCCUAACACAUGCAAGUCGAACGAGACCUUCGGGUCUAGUGGCGCACGGGCGCGUAACGCGUGGGAACCUGCCCUUAGGUUCGGAAUAACUCCCCGAAAGGGGUGCUAAUACCGGAUAAUGUCUUCGGACCAAAGAUUUAUCGCCUUUGGAUGGGCCCGCGUUGGAUUAGCUAGUUGGUAGGGUAAAAGCCUACCAAGGCGACGAUCCAUAGCUGGUCUGAGAGGAUGAUCAGCCACACUGGGACUGAGACACGGCCCAGACUCCUACGGGAGGCAGCAGUGGGGAAUAUUGGACAAUGGGCGAAAGCCUGAUCCAGCAAUGCCGCGUGAGUGAUGAAGGCCUUAGGGUUGUAAAGCUCUUUUACCCGGGAUGAUAAUGUCAGUACCGGGAGAAUAAGCUCCGGCUAACUCCGU
rnacentral:rRNA from 1 species